AGUGAACGCUGGCGGUAGGCCUAACACAUGCAAGUCGAACGGCAGCACAGUAAGAGCCUGCUCUUACGGGUGGCGAGUGGCGGACGGGUGAGGAAUACAUCGGAAUCUACUUUUUCGUGGGGGAUAACGUAGGGAAACUUACGCUAAUACCGCAUACGACCUACGGGUGAAAGCAGGGGAUCUUCGGACCUUGCGCGAUUGAAUGAGCCGAUGUCGGAUUAGCUAGUUGGCGGGGUAAAGGCCCACCAAGGCGACGAUCCGUAGCUGGUCUGAGAGGAUGAUCAGCCACACUGGAACUGAGACACGGUCCAGACUCCUACGGGAGGCAGCAGUGGGGAAUAUUGGACAAUGGGCGCAAGCCUGAUCCAGCCAUACCGCGUGGGUGAAGAAGGCCUUCGGGUUGUAAGGCCCUUUUGUUGGGAAAGAAAAGCAGCAGGUUAAUACCCCGCUGUUCUGACGGUACCCAAAGAAUAAGCACCGGCUAACUUCGUG
rnacentral:rRNA from 1 species